UCCUCAAGGGUGCACUUGGGAAUGCUCAAUUUCCUAAUGGAACCAACGGUGUUUUAUUUUAUUUUUUAAAUUAUAUAUUUCAUUUUAAAUGAAAUGUAUUGACUAUAUUCUUGUAAGAUUAUGUGAUAGGAAGGUACAUGUUCAUUUUCCUUCAAGUAAUGCCCUAGACAUUCUUGCUUGAGUUCCACUAUAGAAAAAAGGUCUUGAUUAUUGGCAUGGCACAGGCCACGAAAUUGGGUUUUACCUUAAUGUUCAUGAAGGCAAGUGUGUUUCACUACUUUCCUCUAUUAUUACUGGGUAUCAAAUUGGUCUCCGUUAUAGUGGAGGUGCCCCGUAUGCUUUUAAUGCUGUAACUAAAGUUUGGCAUUAUACCAAUUGUGGUGCCAAUUGGUGUUCGAGAUUUUGACAUUAAUGGGGAACUUUGGGUCAAAUUAGGAUUGAUACCAACAGAGCCUUUUGUAGGAGUUGUAAUAUUCACUAGAUUUUAUUCAUAAAAUACUUGUACAUUUUUUUCUUGCUAAUUCAGAUUUAGUUUUUAGUUUUUCUA